CUAAGCAGCAGUAGCUCUCUUUUAAUGGAAGGUGUUCUUGUACAAGAUAGAAGAGACACAAGAGAAAAUGAAGUUCAACUACUUUCAUGCUGGCCUAAGGAGCAGUUAUUACAGUUAUUACAGCUAAGGGCUGUCAGUCAAUAGAAAAUGUAGCGCAGCAAAAUAUCAGAAGUUAAAGAUGUUAGAAUAGAAUAAUUUUUUUAAUAUUCUGAAUUCUGGUAACUGUAACUGGAGUUCUACUUCAAUAUAAAUUGGAUCAACUGUUAAUCGGUUAAGAGCUUCAACUCCUUUGUAAAUGAAUGUACUUUGCGCAUCAAACUUAGGACAUGUAAGACUUCUUUCAUAAACGUUUUUUCCAGAAGAAAUGUGUGACAGUGGCCCACAGUAAUGGCAAAAUAACUUGGGAUUAAUUGUUUGCUAAUUGAGUAAUUUGAAUUUUUGCCAAAUAAAUAAUAUUCUGGAACAAGCUUUUCAAGUUUUUCCAGCAAUGGAUGCCUCAGAACAAACGACAGAGAAGGAAAGCCUCACAUACUUUUACACAAGAAGAAUCAAAACUCAAAUACUGCAAAUGCAACGUAUGCUAAGGGAGAAAAUUUCAACAAGAUAUUUAUGUGAUGUCCCUGUACAUGAAAGCAGGGCAAGGGUAAUGAAGCAGCACAGUUUUACUUUGGGGUAAAUUACUGUUGUUUGCUAUGCAAAUCUUAUGAUUGUAAUUAGACUUGGAUUUGGAGUACUGUGUACACUGAUCUUUGUUCCCUCUGUGCACGGGAGCUAAUUCUAAUGCUGCAAAACUGCACAGCAAAUUUUGAGCGCUGCUCAGCAGAACAGUCAUUUCUUGCAGUGCAUCUUUGCAAGAAAUGGGUGUUGUGAAAGGAAAGAGUUACCUCUGUGCUCACAGUGCGUGCAAGAAGUACUGCAGACGCCUUCAGAGACACUGAAGGAGGAUUCAGGAGUGCAGCCCCGUGAAGGGCUGAUGGCCCUGCGGUUGUCCUGAGGGAAAGGAGAACGGGCCAGUCUGUAGUCUGCAGGAUUGCCAAGGAGAGCUGUCACUUGGAUCGAAGGAAGCACCUCUACACUGAGAAUGGCUCAGCUGUUUGCAUAGAACAACUCUCCAAGCAGGAGCUGCACAACUCGAAACAAAGUCGCUAUUAUUCUAGGGUGUGAGGAUUGCGGUAAAAGCCUUAUAGGAGAAUGCAAACUUCAUGGACCACUCAUCAGGGCUAAAGACAGGGUUAUUCCUAGCCGAGCCCGUCUCACCCUACCUCACUACCUUACUUUGCGAGUAUUGGAGCUGCGAGCUGGAAACCAGCAGAUCCUUGGAGUAUUUGCGAAGAAAGUAAUACAGAAGAGAACACAGUUUGGUCCUUACGUUGGUCAACUGUCUACAAAAUUGACCUGCUAUGAUGAGAGUAGGCUAGUUCUGCAGGUAAAAACCCUGUGCCUUAACAUGAAGUGCGUAUGUGUUUUUUAACAUUUCAUAUGGGCAACUUGCCUUCUAAUCUACUUAAUUAAUUGUACUUCUGAUCUCUAUGUAUGAACUUAAGUCAUAUUAUUGGAUUGCACAGCAUAGCCAGAAGUAACAAGAUGUUCUUGUAUGCUAAGUUUACUUUCCUGCUUUCUAGUUUUAUCACUUCUGGGGUGAUUUAUCUAUUCAUCUAACUGUUCUUGAUAAAUUUUUCAUGGAGUAUGGCUAUUGAGUGUAUCCAGGGAUAGUACUGUCUUCCCUGGUAGGGCUGUAUUCACUUAGUUUGUUCAGCCCAAAGCUCAGGAGGCUGACAGGAGGCCUCGUGGCAGCCUACAGCUCCUCACAAGGAGAGAGUGGUGGCAGCACUGAGAUCUGUUCUCUAGUGACAGUGACAGGACCUGAGGGAAUGGCACAGAGCUGAGUCAGGGGAGGGUCAGGUUGGGUGUGAGGAAAAGACUCUUCACCAGAGGGUGAUGGGCAUGGCACAGAUUCCCCAAGGCCGUAGGCAGAGCCUCCAGCUGCCGGAGUUCAAGAAGCCUUCGGACAAUGCUAGGGUAUGAAUUUUGGGUGGUCCUGUAUGGAGCCAGGGGUUGCACUCGAUGAUCCAUGUAAGACCCUUCCAACAAGGGAUACUCUGUGAUUCUAUGGAUUAGAACCAAGAGAAUUUGUACUUUACACCAUUUUAUUGGGAGGUUCAUUUGUGUGCAUUGGCUUAGCAAUAGUGGCAGAAAUAUGCACUAGGACACCUGCUUAGUAGGAAGGAACAGUGCAAGAGUAAGGAAGCAUUCCUUAAUGAUGUGAUUGUGUAUAAGCUUUGACAGACAGUGUAAUAAUUCAGUUUAUUUGGUCAGGUUCUUAUUUUUAGAGCGAUUACUAUCCCUUGUUGCAUAAGCAUGUGCAGUUCAUCCGAUCUGGACCUUUACACCAGUGUUUAUACUUUUUCCACACACAUAAUGGCCUCUAUCAAGACCAGCCUAGCCUAGAUAUAUUUUCAAGUACAUUUUUUCCCUCAUCAGCUUCCUGGGAGUCAUGGGUGAUCAUAGUCCUCUUAUCCUAGGUCUCACCUGCACAGGUGUCUGUCACACAGCACAUCUGUGUUCCAGUCACAGUCUCUGUCAGAACUCUGUGGCAAGUCUUGGUUCUUCCAAGACUUAUCAUUUAACAUCAGACCUUUUCACCCUCCAAGAGACGGUCCUGUUAUAUGCUGUAUGUCUUCAUUUGAGUUUUCUUCCUCAGAAGCUUUGGGCUGGAAUACAGGCUGCUGUGGAAAAAGGCAUACAUACAGAUACUUCUGCAGUUUCAUUUGAGAACGAAAAUUGUAGGUCCAGUAAUUGCUGUAGACUUCAUUUGCUUAUGGAAGUCAUAUGAAUGGUCUGCCAGGAAGGUAACACUGUCCUUCUGUGGGAUUUUCAUAGCAUGAUGACACCGGAGAGCAUUAGUUUCUUCUGUUCCUAUGCAACACUUUAAUUCUUACAAAUGUGGAAAAGGUAAGGUACAUAUCUAGCAAGUUAGCGAGCAUGGAUGAGCUAAGCACCCAGUUCCUUCCUCUCCACCAAGCCAUUGCAAACCUCACCCUAUCCUCUAUCAGUCAGCCCAGUUUGCUUCAAAGUGUACUGUGAUAAGCACAGCUCUGAUUGUUGAAGAGAGUAUUUCUUCACAAGAAGAGACUGGACUGACUUUUCCUACAUGGCAGCAGUAGUUGCUUGGCAUUUCUCUUAGCAGCAUUCUGAAUGUGAUUAAACUGGGACUUGUCCAGCAGGCAAGUGUUUCCAUUGGAAAAAUGACAAAGUUGGGUAAAACAGUCCUCAGAAGCAGUGGAGAUAAAACUUGUUUUGCAAUUAAUGGUUAGCUUAGAUGGUUAUUGGAACCAAUACAUGCAGUGCUGGCAUCUGUUGUGCAGCUUCAAAUGUCUACAUUCAGUGUAGUGGAAAAGCAACUGUCCUGUAUGAGGUUGGGGCUGUUUACUCAGAGACAUUCUCUUGAAAUGGAGUGUAGGAAGAAUGAAGUAAAGCAAAAUGAAUGAGGUCUUUCUGGCACGAUUGUUCAUUCGUAUUUAAUUUUACAUUUUUAAGAAGAGAUGACUGUUAAAAAGUCUCUUUGGAAUUAUUGCACAACUUGUGUGAUUGUUCCAUGCAAACCAGCAUUAAUGCAGCAUUGAAGUUUGAGAUUAUCAGCUACUCAGGAAGUACAUUAAGGCACAAAGCUUAUCUUCCUGCCUGCUUGCACUUAGUUCUUGUUCUUAUAAUACUAUCUUUAUAUAACAUAAAAAAUGAGAAAUAUAAACUGGAAAUACAUACAAAGCCCUUACAGCUAUUUUACUAGUUGGGUGCCUCAGAAGGUGCUCAUUCUUCAUUUGCUUUUGCAUUUGGUGUUCUCUAAGAGUGAUCUAUUUUGAAACAAACAUGAUUUCAAAGAAUUUAUCACCACAAGAAGGUAAAUAAUUGGUAGCCCUGGUUCCA